UACGUAGGGUCCGAGCGUUGUCCGGAAUUAUUGGGCGUAAAGGGCUCGUAGGCGGUCUGUCGCGUCGGGAGUGAAAACUUACAGCUUAACUGUGAGCGUGCUUCCGAUACGGGCAGACUUGAGGUAUUCAGGGGAGAACGGAAUUCCUGGUGUAGCGGUGAAAUGCGCAGAUAUCAGGAGGAACACCGGUGGCGAAGGCGGUUCUCUGGGCCGAAAUUGACGCUGAGGAGCGAAAGCGUGGGGAGCAAACAGG
rnacentral:rRNA from 1 species